rnacentral:rRNA from 1 species
UACGUAGGGAGCAAGCGUUGUUCGGAUUUACUGGGCGUAAAGGGCGCGUAGGCGGCGCGGUAAGUCACUUGUGAAAUCUCUGAGCUUAACUCAGAACGGCCAAGUGAUACUGCAGUGCUAGAGUGCAGAAAGGGCAAUCGGAAUUCUUGGUGUAGCGGUGAAAUGCGUAGAUAUCGAGAGGAACACCCUGCGGCGAAGGCGGGUUGCUGGGCUGACACUGACGCUGGAAGCGCGAAAGCUAGGGGAGCGAACGGG